UCGAUUCCCUUAGUAGCGGCGAGCGAAACGGGAAGAGCCCAAACCAACAAGCUUGCUUGUUGGGGUUGUAGGACACUCUAUACGGAGUUACAAAGGACGACAUUAGACGAAUCAUCUGGAAAGAUGAAUCAAAGAAGGUAAUAAUCCUGUAGUCGAAAAUGUUGUCUCUCUUGAGUGGAUCCUGAGUACGACGGAGCACGUGAAAUUCCGUCGGAAUCUGGGAGGACCAUCUCCUAAGGCUAAAUACUCUCUAGUGACCGAUAGUGAACCAGUACCGUGAGGGAAAGGUGAAAAGCACCCCGGAAGGGGAGUGAAAUAGAACCUGAAACCGUGUGCUUACAAGUAGUCAGAGCCCGUUAAUGGGUGAUGGCGUGCCUUUUGUAGAAUGAACCGGCGAGUUACGAUUUGAUGCAAGGUUAAGCAGUAAAUGUGGAGCCGUAGCGAAAGCGAGUCUGAAUAGGGCGUUUAGUAUUUGGUCGUAGACCCGAAACCAGGUGAUCUACCCUUGGUCAGGUUGAAGUUCAGGUAACACUGAAUGGAGGACCGAACCGACUUACGUUGAAAAGU
rnacentral:rRNA from 1 species